AUGGGGGGAAGCCCUGUCUCAGCACCGCCCCCCUGGUGGGAUGAAGGCCUUCGGGUUGUAAACUCCUUUCAGUGGGAACGAAACUGACCGUACCCACAUACUAAGCCCCGGCCAACUACGUGCCAGCAGCCGCGGUGAUACGUAGGGGGCGAGCGUUGUCCGGAUUUAUUGGGCGUAAAGAGCUCGUAGGCGGUUUGGUUAGUCGGGUGUGAAACCUCCUGGCUCAACCUGCAGACGCCUCCCUAUACUGCCCUGACUAGAGUCCGGUAGGGGACCAUGGAAUUCCUGGUGUAGCGGUGAAAUGCUUUAAUUUCAUGCGGAUCACCGCUAUCGAAGGCGGUGGUCUGGUCCGGUACUGACGCUGAUGAUCGAAAGCGUGCUGAGCGUACAGGAUUAUAUACCCUGGUAGUCCACGCCAUAAACGCUGGGCAUCUACGUGUGGCGCUCUAUCGCCGAUUUCCGUGCCGCAGCUAACGUCACUAAGUGCCCCG
rnacentral:rRNA from 1 species